GACGGAGGAUGCAAGCGUUAUCCGGAAUGAUUGGGCGUAAAGCGUCCGCAGGUGGCAGUUCAAGUCUGCUGUCAAAGACCGGGGCUUAACUUCGGAAAGGCAGUGGAAACUGAACAGCUAGAGUAUGGUAGGGGCAGAGGGAAUUCCUGGUGUAGCGGUGAAAUGCGUAGAGAUCAGGAAGAACAUCGGUGGCGAAGGCGGCGAUCUGGGAAGAUACUGACGCUGAGGUGCGAAAGCGUGGGGAGCGAACAGG
rnacentral:rRNA from 1 species